UCAAGUUUAGACUGAUUUUUCCCCCUCAAAGGUUUUUCCUUUUUCUCUCUAGUGACAUAAAUUUUCAUUUUGUGCAAAGUGGGGAAGAAUGAAGUUGGCAGGAGAUUAUCAAUUUUGGAAUUAAGAGUUUCUACAGUUGAGAAGAGACACCUUUAUGGGUGUGGGAAUCAAGCUUCACUAGGCUCUGUGCAGGUGAAGGGAAGUUUAUUCGGGGAGAAGGCACCUACACAGGAAACAGGUAACUGCUGCAGGUUCUCAUUCCAAGGAUUCUCAUUCCUGACACCUGGAUGCUCUCUGAGACCCGACCAGGAAGCAAGAGAGGUCCUGAGCCUGGUACCUAAUCCUUAUCACCGGUCUUGUCCACACCUGUGACCACACCCAAAAGGGUGUGGUCAGUGCUACAGGUGUAGAAGUGGAUAUCACUACACACCAUGGCCACAACAACUCUUAUGAAGGAAAACAUUUAAUUGGGGCUGGCUUACAGAGGCUUAGUCCCUUGUUGUCAUGUUGGGAAGCAUGGCAGAACACAGUAUAGGCAGAGUGGCACUGGAGAAAAAACUGAGAGUAUCAUUUGGAUUGGCAGGCAUCAGGAAGUGAAUGCCCCACUGGGCAUGGCUUGAGCACCCGAGACCUUAAAUCUCACAGAGACACACUUUCUCCAACAAGGCCACACCUAAUCAUGCCACUCCCCAUGGGCCUAUGGGGGCCAUUUUAUUUCAAACCACCACACUCUAUAAAAAGGCCUUUGUUCCUGUUUGCCCCCCCCACACUAGCUAGAAUGCCAAACUACAUAGGAUCUGUACACCAAGGAUGAGAAUUUUCUCUUAAUACUGUCAUCAUAUUCAGAACUGCUCCAAUCCCUGUGAGUAGAGGAAGGUAAGGGCUAAAAGAGCCUCGCAGAGUCAUUUGGCCUGAAUGCUUUCACCAUACAAUGGGGCUCUGUGGGUGUGUGGCAAGAUGGGGAAGUGUGAGGCGCAGAGCUAGGGCAUAGUGAGCUCCUUGUGAGGGUUAUUAUUGAUUAUCAAUUUGACAGGAUCUACCUUCCCCAAGGAGUCAAAUAUCUGGACAGGAGGAGUGUCUAGGUUCCAUUCACUGAGAUGGGUCAGCCCAUCCUAAAUGUGGGUGGCAUCACCCAUGAGCUGAAGCCCCAGAUAUUGAAAUGCUGAAAUUCCAUACCAGGUUACUUAGGUAUUUGUGGGGAGUGUAGCAGAACUACAAGCAGAUGCUUCAACAUGUUGCCAUUGCCAUGUUUACGGUUUAG
rnacentral:lncRNA from 1 species